rnacentral:rRNA from 1 species
UACGAAGGGGGCUAGCGUUGUUCGGAUUUACUGGGCGUAAAGCGCACGUAGGCGGAUCUUUAAGUCAGGGGUGAAAUCCCGAGGCUCAACCUCGGAACUGCCUUUGAUACUGGGGAUCUUGAGUCCGGGAGAGGUGAGUGGAACUGCGAGUGUAGAGGUGAAAUUCGUAGAUAUUCGCAAGAACACCAGUGGCGAAGGCGGCUCACUGGCCCGGUACUGACGCUGAGGUGCGAAAGCGUGGGGAGCAAACAGG